GACGAACGCUGGCGGCGUGCCUAAUACAUGCAAGUUGAGCGAUGAAGAUUGGUGCUUGCACCAAUUUGAAGAGCAGCGAACGGGUGAGUAACGCGUGGGGAAUCUGCCUUUGAGCGGGGGACAACAUUUGGAAACGAAUGCUAAUACCGCAUAACAACUUUAAACAUAAGUUUUAAGUUUGAAAGAUGCAAUUGCAUCACUCAAAGAUGAUCCCGCGUUGUAUUAGCUAGUUGGUGAGGUAAAGGCUCACCAAGGCGAUGAUACAUAGCCGACCUGAGAGGGUGAUCGGCCACAUUGGGACUAAGACACGGCCCAAACUCCUACGGGAGGCAGCAGUAGGGAAUCUUCGGCAAUGGACGAAAGCCUGACCGAGCAACGCCGCGUGAGUGAAGAAGGUUUUCGGAUCGUAAAACUCUGUUGGUAGAGAAGAACGUUGGUGAGAGUGGAAAGCUCAUCAAGUGACGGUAACUACCCAGAAAGGGACGGCUAACUACGUG
rnacentral:rRNA from 1 species